rnacentral:rRNA from 1 species
GAAACCGGGCGACCUACCCAUGAGCAGGAUGAAGCGAAAGUAAAAUUUCGUGGAGGUCCGAACCCACGAGCGUUGAAAAGCUCGGGGAUGACUUGUGGGUAGCGGUGAAAUUCCAAUCGAGCCCGGAGAUAGCUGGUUCUCCCCGAAAUAGCUUUAGGGCUAGCCUCAAGGUGAGAGAUACGGAGGUAGAGCACUGAAUGUCCUAGGGGGUAUUGCACCUACCGAAGACUAUCAAACUCCGAAUGCCGUCAUCUUAUACUUGGGAGUCAGACUGUGGGUGAUAAGAUUCAUAGUCGAAAGGGCAACAGCCCAGAUCGUCAGCUAAGGUCCCUAAAUGUAAGUUAAGUGGUAAAGGAUGUGGGAUUGCACAGACAACCAGGAUGUUGGCUUAGAAGCAGCCACUCAUUCAAAGAGUGCGUAAUAGCUCACUGGUCGAGUGAUCCUGCGCCGAAGAUUUCCGGGGCUAAAAC